CCCAACCCCUCCGAGCCCCCUCCGAUACCCCUCUUUCCACGCGGUUUUCAGCCCUCGAGGGGGGACCCGAGGAUUCGGAGGAGAUGAUGCCACCGCCGCCUCCUCAAUGCACCGCCGCCCGACUCCUCCUCAAGAUGUCGUCGCCCGCCACCUCUACGCUGGCGUAUCUCCUCCGGCAUACCCCCGGGUCUCACACGGCGCUGUGGUACGCGGAUGUCGCUGCAGAGUAGAGAGAUACCCCUAGAAGUCGCCUUCCUGUCCACCUCUUCAGAAGUGCCACCGCCUUGGACACGACGACAUUAGAACCCAAUUCCUAUCAUAGAGAUAUGGGGUCAGGAAAACCCAACAGUUCAUUUAUUCCUGCUAGUUAAACUUGGGCUGUUAUAGAGAUAUGCAGGCCCAUCUAAUUACAUGUUACUCUCAAACUGUUUGAGCAAUAUGCAGUGAUGUUAGUCUGUAAUGCAUUGACAAUGGCCGCUACUUCAGGCGUUGCUAGCUGCAUUUCUCUACUGCCCUGUUGUUUUGUAGGUGACGCCCUUAGUUUUGCUACUUUGCAUAUUCUGGGAGCAAUUACAGUGAGGUUAUAUGUGAUUUUUGUUCA